GCAGUCGUGGCCGAGUGGUUAAGGCGAUGGACUCGAAAUCCAUUGGGGUCUCCCCGCACAGGUUCGAAUCCUGUCGACUGCG
rnacentral:tRNA from 5 species